rnacentral:rRNA from 1 species
GAUGGACGCUAGCUACAGGCUUAACACAUGCAAGUCGAGGGGUAACGAGAGGAAAGCUUGCUUUCCUUGUUGACGACCGGCGCACGGGUGAGUAACGCGUAUCCAACCUGCCCCCAACUAGGGAAUAACCUUGCGAAAGUAAGACUAAUACCCUAUAAUUUCCUCAGAUGACAUCUGACGAGGAAUAAAGAUUUAUCGGUUGUGGAUGGGGAUGCGUCUGAUUAGCUUGUUGGCGGGGUAACGGCCCACCAAGGCAACGAUCAGUAGGGGCUCUGAGAGGAAGGUCCCCCACAUUGGAACUGAGACACGGUCCAAACUCCUACGGGAGGCAGCAGUGAGGAAUAUUGGUCAAUGGGCGGAAGCCUGAACCAGCCAAGUAGCGUGCAGGAUGACGGCCCUAUGGGUUGUAAACUGCUUUUAUACAGGAAUAAAGUUAGCCACGUGUGGUUAUUUGUAGGUACUGUAUGAAUAAGGACCGGCUAAUUCCGUGCCAGCCGCCGCUGUAA